rnacentral:rRNA from 1 species
UACGAAGGGGGCUAGCGUUGCUCGGAAUCACUGGGCGUAAAGCGCACGUAGGCGGCUUUCUAAGUCAGGGGUGAAAUCCUGGAGCUCAACUCCAGAACUGCCUUUGAUACUGGAGAGCUUGAGUCCGGGAGAGGUGAGUGGAACUCCGAGUGUAGAGGUGAAAUUCGUAGAUAUUCGGAAGAGCACCAGUGGCGAAGGCGGCUCACUGGCCCGGUACUGACGCUGAGGUGCGAAAGCGUGGGGAGCAAACAGG